rnacentral:snRNA from 1 species
UCCUUCUUCACAAACACGGGCCUGUGCCCAGAGCUCCUUUGCCCGUCCGCGGGUCAGAGUUGAGCUCUGCGGCAGCUCGAUCGUCCUAGGAGCCAUCAAAUUCUUAUGGUGUCAAUCUUCCGAUCGACAGGUCCAAGAGUAACCGGUCUGGAGGAAGCAACGUUCGCUUCGGCUUGAGCGUUGUGGAAUCUUGUACUGGGGACGUCAUAUUCCUACCCCUUCGCCGAGAUCGUCGAUCCAUGAGGUUAGGGAAAACCAUGACUUGCCCACAUAC